rnacentral:tRNA from 1 species
GGAGAGAUGGCAGAGUGGUCGAUUGCGGCGGUCUUGAAAACCGUUGAGGGUCACACCUCCGGGGGCACGAAUGCCUCUCUCACCGCCA